rnacentral:rRNA from 1 species
AUUGAACGCUGGCGGCAUGCCUUACACAUGCAAGUCGAACGGCAGCACGGGUGCUUGCCCCUGGUGGCGAGUGGCGAACGGGUGAGUAAUACAUCGGUACCUGUCCUUUACUGGGGGAUAGCCCGCCGAAAGCCGGAUUUAUCCCGCAUACGAACCACGUCCUACAGCGGGGGGCCUUCCGGCCUCCCGCUAUUGGGUUGGCCCAACGUGGAUAACCUAGUUGGCGGGGUGAGGGCCUCCCAAGGCGGCGUCCGGCACCUGGUCGGAGAGGACGACCAGCGACACGAGGGGUGAAACAGGGCACAAGCUACUAAGGGAGGCAGCAGUGGGGAAUUUUGGGCAGUGGGCGAGAGCCUAAUCCAGCGAUGCCGCGUGUGUGAAGGAGGCGUUGGGGUUGUAAAGCAGUUUUGUCCGGAAAGAAAUCCUUGGCUCUAGUACGGACGGGGGAUGACGGUACCGGGAAAAUAAGCACCGGCUAACUACGUG